AGUGAUCUGUGGUGUGGUUGUUAUUAAAGCCGGUUGUGUUUUGUGAGAACUGAAAAGAGCAAUUUUGUAUUGUAAAGCUAUUGUAUUAUUUUAUUUUGUAUUACUUUGCAUGAAUCAAUCAUGUUAAAUUCAUCAAUGAAUCAGAGUCAACGGUCUCAAUCUCAACAUGCCAAUUCAAUGUUAUCGAGCCACGAAAAACGAUUCCUUCUUGAAGAAAUAUCUCAAGAGGUCUCGAGAAUUGCAGGUCCACUGUGUGAUAAAGUUAAACUCUAAGCCGAACUCAAGGCCUGGGUGAAGGGUCAAGUAGCCCUUUUAAAAAUAAUUAACAUUAAUCUUCUUCGCACGUGUCAUUCUCCCUGCCCAUCCAAAUUUAAUAAGAUCGUACUAGAGCAGCUUAGUGUUACAAGUUGCUCGAUUACAGAUGAAGACAACCUAACUGAAGCAAGUGUGAAGAGACUCAGUGAAAUCAUAGACACUGUAGAGUCUGCAUCUCCAAAUACCACAGACAAUGUUGAUUCAAGUGCAGGUGUAUGCUACAUGCACUCUAAAGCAUUGAAGGACACUAGUGAUCUGACCAAGCGUUGCACAGAACAAGUGACAGGGGAGGUGGACAAUUAUGACAAGUUUGCACUGGCCACCCAUAUUAAGAGCAAUCCUGACUUCUGGGACUUCAUGUUCCCGCUCGAGGUGCCCCCGGUGGCGUACUUGCACGGCACGUUCGCGCCAACGCCCCUGGAGCAGAGGCCUAGGGCUGCGCGCAGGAAGGUGGAGAGACAGCGCGCAAAGGACGUCAAGGGCCCAAAGAAAGUGGACAAACAAACACAAGAGGAGAAAACAGAUGAGAGUACAAAGAAGGUGGAGCAGAUGCUGAGCUUUAUAAAGAGGGUGGGUAAGACGGAGCCCGUCAGCUACUUCCACCUGCUCCUGCACCCCGUCAACUUCAGCCGCACCAUCGAGAACAUCUACCACUUCUCCUUCCUAGUCCGGGAUGGAUGUGUGAAGGUCGUUCUGGACGACAAGUUCGGGCUGCCGUUCGUGACGGUGAUGAGCUCGGAGAAAAAGCGGCGCGCUGAGGACACUGAGUUCAACCAGUUCAUUGUCACCAUGGACAUGCAGAGGUGGCAGGAGCUGGUCGAGGCGUUUGAAAUCAGAGAGCCGAUGAUGAAAUAAAAAUAAUUUAAAUAUACAACCAAAGAAUUUUUACACUGUGAUGUAUUUAACAGUAUGCCGUGAAACUAUUUAAAUCUGCCUGUAGAAGGGAGUGAUCAUCUGGUGUUUCUAUAGUUUUAAAUAUUUUAAGAUCAUCUGCAUAAAGAAGAAAGUUACUAUAUUUGAAGCAUUUAUGAAUAUCGUUUAUGAAUAAACCUAUUUACCCGAAUGUAUCAUAAAAAUCAAAAUAUACUAACCUAGUCAUCAUCCUCAUCAUGUUAUAAGUUACGCAAACCCGAAACCGAAAGUUAGUGCAAUAUUACAGUACGGUUCAAUCACUAGUCGACGCGACGCCCCGCGGUUUUACCCGUAGUUUCCAUUCCCGUGAGAAUAUGAGAAUAAAAUAUAGCCUAUGACAUUUAAAUAAUGUAUCUUUCCAAUGGUGAAAGAAUUUUGUAAAUCGGUUCUGUAGAUUCAGAGAUCCCAAUUUCCCAAAUAAUACCAUAAACUUUAGGCCUAGUUUGGACCAUUUUAGUAUUCUCUAUAUAUAUAAAAAAUAUUGAUAUUUAUACCUAUAUAUUAUUAUUAUACUGGCUUCUAAGUCUAUUUUAUAAAGGCUCAAAAAUCAAAAACUCACAGCCCUAAAGCCAGUUUUGACAUAUAAAAAAUAUUCUCUAUUCCUUAGUCUACGUUAAAAGUUGGCUAUGGCUUUGGUAGUUUGGUUUAGGAAUGGGCAAGUAAAUAAAAUAUAUCGUAUCGAUAUUUUUCAAACGUAUCGAUACAUAUUUUCUAAAAAUAUUGAUAUUUAUACCUAUAUAUUAAGCACUGGCUUCUAAGACAUUCAGUCUUCGCUGCACAGAUCACAAACGAUUAGACUAUAGAUAAUUUUCAUUAGUACAUAAUAGUUCCAUGACAAUUUUUAACCGACUUCCAAAAAGGAGGAGGUUCUACGUUCGGCUGUAUUUAUGUUUUUUUUUCAUGUAUGUUCAGCGACAAUUCCGCCAUUUAUGGACCGAUUUUAAAAAUUCUUUUUUGUUUUGAAGGGUUUGUUUCCAGGGUGGUCCCAUUUUUUUUAUGUCAGGAUUUGAUGAUGGCAUUCUGGAGAAAUUGAGGGGAACUUUUAAAAAUCGUAGAGACGCCUAGUGCUUUUGUUUGUGUUUCCAUAAGGUAUUUUAAACCACUACAGUUUUAUGAAGGUCUGGAGUUGAUCUGAUGAUGGAGUCGAAACACAGACGUUGGAACUCGUCAACGAUUUACAGCAGUUACCUUUUGUUUGGGCUUGAUUAAUUUGUAUUAAAACUUUCCACCUAGAUGGGUUGUGACUGUAUUAAGGGUCUGGUUAUGCAGAUGAAGGAGAGUUAAAGGAACUUCACGAAGGUUCACAGUAGCUACCUUGUGUUUGGACUUGAUUAAUAUUAUAUUGAUGAGAACUUUCCAUCCAUAUGGAUUGUGACUGCAUAGGGGGUCUGAUGAUGAAGACGGAGGAGAGUUAAGACCACUUCUCAUUAGUUAUGAUACCUUUCACGUUUUUCUGGAUAUUCAUAUUACGUGUGAAUAAAGGGGGAGUGAAAUUUUGUAUAUACAAAAAAUAACAUCUUGCCAUGUGCUACCUUCUGAUAAGUUUGAAGGCGGUGCCAAUCCAGUUUCAUGUUUUAAUUAUAGCCGUUUCUGAAAGAACCACAGAAAUUUUGUAAUUUAUACGGCUCGAUACUAGAAAAUAAGUAUCGAAAAUCGAUAUAUCGAAAAAAAAAUCUGCGUUAUAUAUCGAUUAUUAUAUUUUUUUUGCCCAAGCCUAGUUUGGUUUGACUUUCAUUUGACAUUGAAUUGACUCGACAGUGACAGACAGACAUUGAGUUUGACUGUGACUUGUCAAUGUCAUGGCUUGGCUUGUUUUGUUUGAAAUUUUGAAUCUUCUAAUUUUGUUUGUCAAAAAAAUAAAAUGUAUUAAUUUUGACUUGUGAAUUGUGAUUAUCAGAGUUAAUUUAUUUAGAUUGGAUGUGAACUAUAAACGUUUAUCGAUUACGAUAUCUACUAAUAAAUCUAAUUUAUGAAAAAGAAGGAAUUAAAAUGUAAUGUUCAAUUUCGUACAUUGAUAUUGUCAUAUUUUAAGAAGCCAAGACACAAUUUCAGAUAAGCAUAAAUAAUUUUGCCUGUACAGUGACUUUACUGGUCUAGAUAACUGUGUGGAUGUGACUUUGAUUCCAGUUAUAAGACAAUGUGCAGUCAUAAUAUGUAAUCAUGUGCAGGUUAAAUUGUAAAUGUAAGAUAGUGAAAAAUUGGCUAUACAUAUUUGUUGUGGGGUUCUUCUAAGACCUACUUAGUUUAUUGUAAUAAUUACCAUCAAAUAGAGAAGUAUGUGUAUAAUUGUAUAUUAAAUAAAUAAUGUUUUAAUUUAAAAUUUUACACCAUCUGGUACAUCUGUGAUUAUAAUUAUCAAUUGCUAUUCAAUCUUAUUUCAGGUUUUUAUUUGUAAAAGAAAUACAACUUGUAAUGGCAGCAUAUGAGGGAUUUAACUCCCCUAUGUGUGCAGCUGUGUAACUGGAAAUAAUGAAUAAAAUAUUAAAAAUUAAAAUAUUCCAGGUGUUAGAAUAUUUCUCUGUUACUUGUAGGUAGCUAAAGUCUAGUUGCUAAGUCCUGUGAUAUUUGUAUGUGGAAUAAUGGCAAGUCAGUAUUCUCAAUGGGGAUGAUGACUAGGUUUGAAUAUAUUGAUUUUUAUGAUAUAUUCGGGUAAAUAGGGUCAAUGUUAACUAAUUUAUACAUAAAAAGCAAAGAUUGUUUGGAUAUUUGCAAAAUAAAUGAGAUUAUAAAAUUUCAAAAACUAUUCAAAAUAUUUUAUCGUAAUUAGAUGAAAAUUAAUACAGUUUUAGCUUCCUUACGUUAAAUGUGACAUUUUUUAAUAUAUGAACUAUAAGCAUAAACGCACAAAUAACAAAGAUAUUAGUAUUUUUGUUUGAACGCGCAUACAAAUCUAACGAUCGUUACAUUGCCUAUGACGUCAUUAUUUCGAGCCAUUUUGUAUGGGGCGUUUUUCAGGGAUCCGCGGCAGCGCCGCAAAUCUGACUCUUUAAAUCCCUGUAGCUCCGAAAGUAAUGAUCGCAGAUACCCUGUUCCUUUUACAAAAUUGCUUUACUAUUAGUAUACUAUUAAUUUAUAUACAAUUUAAAAAACUGUCAUCAUCCCUAUUGUUUAUUUUGUACUGUUUGUUGUAUCUUUGUACAAAAUAUUUACAAGAUUUCUUGUCCAGCAAAAGAGUUUGGUGAAGAAUAAAAAUAGCAUGAAUAUUUUAGUAUUAAAUAAUCAUGCACUGCAGUUUUAUUCUGUAAAUGGGUCGCUAAAGUCUAGUCUCCAAGUCUUAACACGUUGACGGACAGUACUCUCUCACAUGUUAUGGUUGCUGAGACAGUACUAUUUUUCAUACAUUGCCCAUAGGCGUAGCGUCACAGCGCAACUAUUAUAAUAACACAUGAUAUGACAGAACGGAUAUAGACGUGAACGUCAUAAGGCGUUCUGUCACUAUGGCGAUAUGUAUUUUUGUAGAUAUAUGACAGUACGUUCUGAAGCGUAACCGUCUAUAUCCGUAGUGUCAUAUUUGAUAUGCCCUAAGUAAAUGUUUUGUGCACUUACGCCCUCAGGCGUCAAUGUCUAUGUGAUAGUAAAAAAUAAAACAAAGCUUUAAUCAGUCAAAA